rnacentral:rRNA from 1 species
UGCCUACGGGGGGCAGCAGUGGGGAAUAUUGGACAAUGGGCGCAAGCCUGAUCCAGCCAUGCCGCGUGUGUGAAGAAGGCCUUCGGGUUGUAAAGCACUUUUGUCCGGGAAGAAAUCUUCCGACCUAAUACGUCGGGAGGAUGACGGUACCGGAAGAAUAAGCACCGGCUAACUUCGUGCCAGCAGCCGCGGUAAUACGAAGGGUGCAAGCGUUACUCGGAAUUACUGGGCGUAAAGCGUGCGUAGGUGGUUCGUUAAGUCUGCCGUGAAAGCCCCGGGCUCAACCUGGGAAUGGCGGUGGAUACUGGCGGACUAGAGUGCGGUAGAGGGUGGUGGAAUUCCCGGUGUAGCAGUGAAAUGCGUAGAGAUCGGGAGGAACAUCUGUGGCGAAGGCGGCCACCUGGACCAGCACUGACACUGAGGCACGAAAGCGUGGGGAGCAAACAGGAUUAGAUACCCUAGUAGUCA